UACGAAGGGGGCAAGCGUUGUUCGGAAUUAUUGGGCGUAAAGGGAGCGUAGGCGGUUCGGCAAGUCUUUAGUGAAAUCUCUGGGCUCAACUCAGAGUCUGCUGGAGAAACUGCCGGGCUGGAGUAUGGGAGAGGUGAGUGGAAUUCCCGGUGUAGCGGUGAAGUGCGUAGAUAUCGGGAGGAACACCUGUGGCGAAAGCGGCUCACUGGACCAUUACUGACGCUGAUGCUCGAAAGCUAGGGGAGCAAACAGG
rnacentral:rRNA from 1 species